GGAGAGGCUUCCUGUCCGUUAUCAAUGGAGGCACUCGGUUGUGCUGUGGGAUUUCCGAAUAGGAAAUCCUUAGACACAUUCGUUGUCAAGGGUACGAUGUGAGGGUGGGUUAGAUGCCC
rnacentral:ncRNA from 1 species